rnacentral:rRNA from 1 species
UACGGAGGGUGCAAGCGUUAUCCGGAUUCACUGGGUUUAAAGGGUGCGUAGGCGGGCAGGUAAGUCAGUGGUGAAAUCUCCGAGCUUAACUCGGAAACUGCCGUUGAUACUAUUUGUCUUGAAUAUUGUGGAGGUAAGCGGAAUAUGUCAUGUAGCGGUGAAAUGCUUAGAUAUGACAUAGAACACCAAUUGCGAAGGCAGCUGGCUACGCAUAUAUUGACACUGAGGCACGAAAGCGUGGGGAUCAAACAGG